GCCUGGCUGGCUCAGUCGGUAGAGCAUGUGACUCUUAAUCUUGGGGGUAUGAGUUCAAGCCCCACAUUAGGUA
rnacentral:tRNA from 1 species